rnacentral:rRNA from 1 species
AUUGAACGCUGGCGGAAUGCUUUACACAUGCAAGUCGAACGGCAGCACGGACUUCGGUCUGGUGGCGAGUGGCGAACGGGUGAGUAAUGUAUCGGAACGUGCCCAGUCGUGGGGGAUAACGUAGUGAAAAUUACGCUAAUACCGCAUACGAUCUAUGGAUGAAAGCGGGGGAUCGCAAGACCUCGCGCGAUUGGAGCGGCCGAUAUCAGAUUAGGUAGUUGGUGGGGUAAGGGACCACCAAGCCAACGAUCUGUAGCUGGUCUGAGAGGACGACCAGCCAAACUGGAACUGAGCCACAGUCCAGAUGCCUAAGGGAGGCAGCAGAGGGGAAUUUUGGACAAUGGGCGAAAGCCUGAUCCAGCCAUUGCGGGUGUAGGAUGAAGGCACUCGGGUUGUAAACUGCUUUUGUACAGAACGAAAAGGUUUCUACUAAUACUAGGAGCUCAUGACGGUACUGUAAGAAUAAGCACCGGCUAACUACGUGCCAGCCGCAGCAGUAA